rnacentral:rRNA from 1 species
AUGUCAACAAAGAAGACGUUACUCCUCUGGCUUCUCUGCCGGAGCAGGUGGUGGCUCCUCAGCCUCAGCCGGGUGUUUGUCUACCGUGGUUGUUGCCUCCCCUUCCCCCACCCGUGGUCAGUCGCCGACGAGAACGAAGAAGAGGUCCUAAGUGACGACGUAGAUAGUGACCCAGAAACCCAGAGGAUCUACAGGAGGCAGAAGGUGAGGCAGCUAGACAGUGGUGAGCUCGACAAAGGUGUGAGGCCUAGAUUCGGAAAGGGGGGCUACGGAUGCCCUUACUGCAACAAGGUUAUGAAAGGCGACCUGUCGAGUACCAUUUAG